CCGAAUGUCUAAUGAGCUGUAUAAAUUAUUGUUUAGAACCUAUAGACUUAUGUUUCAAUAUAAGCUAAAAAUAAUUAUACAGAGGCUACAUACCAUCCGUAUAGAUAUAUAUCUGAUUUCUAUUAAUUUUAUUUAAUAAAGCAUCUAUAAUAGAAUUUUAAGUUAUAGAUUAUAAGGUCUAUAAAAUAAUCUAUUUAAAUUAUUUUAAAAUAAGUAGGCUUAAAAACAGCCAACCAUCAAUACUUCAUCGUAGUAAAAUUUUAAGAUAUAUAACAACUAAAUGAAUUUAUAUAAUAGAAUAAUUACUAAAUUGAUAGUAAUAAUUAUAAUGUAUACAUUAGUAUUUUAUUAAACUAAAUAAAGGAACUCGGCAAAUAUAAUAUUCGACUGUUUAACAAAAACAUUUCCUAUAGAUAAUAUAUUAUAGGUAUUUCCCUGCCCUAUGAAAUCUUAAAUGGCUGCAGUAUACUAACUGUACAAAGGUAGCAUAAUAAUUAGCCUAUUAAUAGUAGGAUAGAAUGAAAGGGAGUACGAAAUAUUAGCUGUCUCUAUUUUCUAAAAAUAACCUAUCUUUAAAGUGAAGAGACUUUAAUAUAAAUAAAAGACAAGAAGACCCUAUAGAGCUUUAUAAAUUAUGUAAAAUCAUUACACUUAUAUUCGAUUGGGGCGAUCUAGGUAACCAUAAAACAACCUAUAUAACAAAAGACACAUAAUUCCUUUUUUGAUCUAAACUAACCAAAAAAUUAAGCUACCUUAGGGAUAACAGGCUAAAAUUUCUAAAGAGUUCAUAUCGACAGAAAUACUUGGCACCUCGAUGUUGGCUUAAGAUACCUAAAUGACGCAGUAGUUGUUUAAGGUGGUAGGUUUGACCAUUAAAUUCUUACAUGAGCUGAGUUCAGACCGGCGUAAGCCAGGUUAGAUUCUAUCUUUAUUUAACACUAUUCACUUUGCCUCUAGUACGAAAGGACCUAGGUAA
rnacentral:rRNA from 1 species